GGAAAAAAAACAACUUUCUUAGAUCGUUCAUUAAAAAAAAAAAAUAAAUGGAGUGGAUCUGGUGACAAUUUUAAUCCAUUUAAUCAAUAAAUAAUUGUUAGUUUAAUUAUUUCAUAAUUGAUUCAAACCGAUUACUAAUCACUUGACUAAAUAACAGGUUAUCUAAGACAAAUGAGUCCUUCAAGUUGAUAUACGAAUACAUUGAAUUUAAAACAUCAUGAAAUAUGUAAGAUACUUAUUUUUUUAAAUUGAUACGACGAAAGGAUAAAGAAAAAAUGAAAAAUAAAUAAAGGAUCUAAUCUUAAUCUUCAUGAACCUUUAUAACUAAGAAGAAACAAUACAUCUCUAAAGACCGGAGGAGAAAAACUUGUUGUGACCCCCUUUUACAAUGUUCAAUAAAAUGAUGUUCGGUAUUCAAUAUGCUAUGUUCAGUAAUAACUCACGCCAUUGUCUCAAGUAACGAGAGAAUCAUCAUGACAAUAUUAAAAUAACAUAACAAAUAAAGUAAUAAUAUAAUAUUGAAAUAAAAAUUGGCAGCAGCGCUCCCUCUGCAAAAACAUUCUGCAACUCUCUCUUAUAGAUCACGACUUCAAUUUCAAAAUCAAUAAAAAUGGACUUAAUCAGUUUUUCUUUUU